AACCAUAGAAACCUGCGGAGUACCUGCGGAAGGAUCAUAACUGGUUAAACUUUAUAAACACCAGAGUUUCAAACUCUGUGUUUGCAAACAAAAAACACCCUUCAAAACAGCUAUUCAGUGUCUGAAUUAACUAGUUUAAUAUAAAAACAACUUUUAGCAAUGGAUCU
rnacentral:misc_RNA from 1 species